rnacentral:rRNA from 1 species
AACAGGAUUAGAUACCCUGGUAGUCCACGCCGUAAACGAUGAGUGCUAAGUGUUAGGGGGUUUCCGCCCCUUAGUGCUGCAGCUAACGCAUUAAGCACUCCGCCUGGGGAGUACGGUCGCAAGACUGAAACUCAAAGGAAUUGACGGGGGCCCGCACAAGCGGUGGAGCAUGUGGUUUAAUUUGAAGCAACGCGAAGAACCUUACCAGGUCUUGACAUCCUCUGACAAUCCUAGAGAUAGGACGUCCCCUUCGGGGGCAGAGUGACAGGUGGUGCAUGGUUGUCGUCAGCUCGUGUCGUGAGAUGUUGGGUUAAGUCCCGCAACGAGCGCAACCCUUGAUCUUAGUUGCCAGCAUUCAGUUGGGCACUCUAAGGUGACUGCCGGUGACAAACCGGAGGAAGGUGGGGAUGACGUCAAAUCAUCAUGCCCCUUAUGACCUGGGCUACACACGUGCUACAAUGGGCAGAACAAAGGGCAGCGAAACCGCGAGGUUAAGCCAAUCCCACAAAUCUGUUCUCAGUUCGGAUCGCAGUCUGCAACUCGACUGCGUGAAGCUGGAAUCGCUAGUAAUCGCGGAUCAGCAUGCCGCGGUGAAUACGUUCCCGGGCCUUGUACACACC